rnacentral:rRNA from 1 species
CCAAUAGCGUAUAUUAAAGUUGUUGCAGUUAAAAAGCUCGUAGUUGAAUUUCGGGAUCAAUGCGUCGGUCGUGCCUUCGGUACGUACUAGCGUCAUUGAUUCCUCCCUUCUGAAGAACCGUGAUGUCAUUAAUUUGGUGUUACGGGGAAUCAGGACUGUUACCUUGAAAAAUUAGAGUGUUUAAAGCAGGCUAACGCUUGAAUACAUUAGCAUGGAAUAAUGAAAUAGGACGUUCGAACCUAUUUUGUUGGUUUCUAGGAUCGACGUAAUGAUUAAUAGGGAUAGUUGGGGGCAUUAGUAUUCAAUUGUCAGAGGUGAAAUUCUUGGAUUUAUUGAAGACUGACUACUGCGAAAGCAUUUGCCAAGGAUGUUUUCAUUAAUCAAGAACGAAAGUUAGGGGAUCGAAGACGAUCAGAUACCGUCGUAGUCUUAACCAUAAACUAUGCCGACUAGGGAUCGGAUGAUGUUAAUUUAUAAUGACUCAUUCGGCGCCUUACGGGAAA